rnacentral:rRNA from 1 species
AACGAACGCUGGCGGCAGGCUUAACUCAUGCAAGUCGAGCGCAUCCUUCGGGGUGAGUGGCAGACGGGUGAGUAACGCGUGGGAACAUGCCCUUCAGUUCGGAAUAACCCAGGGAAACUUGGGCUAAUACCGGAUACGUGCGAGAGCAGAAAGAUUUAUCGCUGAAGGAGUGGCCCGCGUCUGAUUAGCUAGUUGGUGAGGUAAAGGCUCACCAAGGCGACGAUCAGUAGCUGGUCUGAGAGGAUGAUCAGCCACACUGGGACUGAGACACGGCCCAGACUCCUACGGGAGGCAGCAGUGGGGAAUAUUGGACAAUGGGCGCAGGCCUGAUCCAGCCAUGCCGCGUGAGUGAUGAAGGCCUUAGGGUUGUAAAGCUCUUUCGGCGGGGACGAUAAUGACGGUACCCGCAGAAGAAGCCCCGGCUAACUUCGUGCCAGCAGCCGCAGUAA